GGUUAUGCUGAUAAGAGCGUAUGGUGGAUGCCUUGGCACUAAGAGCCGAUGAAAGACGUGAUAAGCUGCGAAAAGCUUCGGGGAGGGGCAAAUACCCAUUGAUCCGGAGAUUUCUGAAUGGGGAAACCUACCUGAGCAAACCUCAGGUAUCCUGACGCCAAUCCAUAACGUCAGGAAGGGAACCCGGUGAACUGAAACAUCUAAGUAGCCGGAGGAAGAGAAAACAACAUGUGAUUCUGUGAGUAGCGGCGAGCGAAAACGGAAGAGCCCAAACCAGUGUGCGUGCAUGCUGGGGUUCGGACCGCGGAAUUGAUUCAACAAGUUUAGCAGAACGGUUUUGGGAAAGCCGGCCAGAGAGGGUGAAAGCCCCGUAAGCGAAAGACGAGUUGACAUGGCGGGAUCCAGAGUACCACGAGACACGUGGAACCUUGUGGGAAUAUGCGGGGACCACCCCGUAAGGCUAAAUACUACUUAGUGACCGAUAGUGCAUAGUACUGUGAAGGAAAGGUGAAAAGGACCCCGGGAGGGGAGUGAAAAAGAACCUGAAACCAUAUGUUUACAAGCUGUGGAAGAGCUUUAUAUGCUCAACCGCGUACUUUUUGUAGAACGGUCCGGCGAGUUACGCUGGCUGGCGAGGUUAAGCACUGAAGGUGUGGAGCCGAAGGGAAACCAAGUCUGAAUAGGGCGAAGAGUCAGUCGGAGUAGACCCGAAACCGGGUGAUCUAUCCAUGUCCAGGUUGAAGUUGCCGUAAAAGGCAAUGGAGGACCGAACCCACAUCCGUUGAAAAGGGUGGGGAUGAGGUGUGGAUAGGGGAGAAAUUCCAAUCGAACCCGGAGAUAGCUGGUUCUCCUCGAAAUAGCUUUAGGGCUAGCCUCAUACGAGUCUUGCGGAGGUAGAGCACUGAAUUCCUAAGGGGGCGUCAAAGCUUACUAAGGGAUAUCAAACUCCGAAUGCCGUGUAGAUGAUGUAUGGGAGUCAGACGAUCCGAGAUAAGUUGGGUGGUCAAAAGGGAAAGAGCCCAGACCAACAGCUAAGGCCCCAAAAUGUGUGUUAAGUGGAAAAGGAUGUGGGAUUUCGAAGACAACUAGGAUGUUGGCUCAGAAGCAGCCAUCCAUUCAAAGAGUGCGUAAUAGCUCACUAGUCGAGAGGUCCUGCGCCGAAAAUGUCCGGGGCUGAAACACACUGCCGAAGCUUUGGAAUUGAUGAAUUUCAAUUGGUAGAGGAGCAUUCUUAAAGAGACGAAGCAGUACCGGAAGGAGCUGUGGAUUUUUAAGAAGAGAGAAUGCCGGAAUGAGUAGCGAGAGGAAGGUGGGAAUCCUUCCGGCCGAAUAUCUAAGGUUUCCAGAGUAAAGCUGAUCUGCUCUGGGUAAGUCGGGGCCUAAGGCGAGGUCGAAAGACGUAGUCGAUGGAUAACAGGUUGAAAUUCCUGUACUAUCCUGUAACAGAACUGUGGGGACACAGGCAGAGAGCGUGAGCCGGGAAUGGAAAGACCGGUACAAGCGAGGUAGGAGAAGAGCUGGCAAAUCCGCUCUUCAAUCUGAAGACGUGAUGUGGACCGAAAAGAAGUAGGGAAGCACGUGAGCUGACUGUCAAGAAAAGCCGCUAUUGUUUGCAGGAUACCCGUACCGUAAACCGACACAGGUGGAUGAGGAGAGAAUCCUAAGGCCGACGGGAGAAGCAUUGUUAAGGAACUCGGCAAAAUGACUCCGUAACUUCGGGAGAAGGAGUGCCAGUAAGAUGGCCGCAGAGAAUUGGCCCAAGCAACUGUUUAGCAAAAACACAGGUCUAUGCAAAACCGAAAGGUGAGGUAUAUGGGCUGACGCCUGCCCGGUGCUGGAAAGGUUAAGGGGAGAGGUUAGCCGUAUGCGAAACUUUGAACUUAAAGCCCCAGUAAACGGCGGCCGUAACUAUAACGGUCCUAACGUAGCGAAAUUCCUUGUCCGGUAAGUUCCGACCCGCACGAAAGGCGUAAUGAUGUUGGGCACUGUCUCGACAGUGCAACCUCGUGAAAUUGAAAAUACCAAUGCAGAUGCUGGUUACCUGCGGCAGGACAGAAAGUACCUCCAUGGAUCCUUUAUUCCGACUUGAUACUGGGAAUUCCGGGAUUGUAUGUUCAGGAUAGGUGGGCAGGGCUUUAGAACUGGAUACNNNNNNNNNNNNNNNNNNNNNNNNNNNNNNNNNNNNNNNNNNNNNNNNNNNNNNNNNNNNNNNNNNNNNNNNNNNNNNNNNNNNNNNNNNNNNNNNNNNNAGGUGAGUUUACUUGGACACCUACGGGUGGAGCCGGUCGGAAAUUAGAACUUGUGAUCCCGGUGGUAUAAAGUGGGAUUGCCAUCGCUCAACGGAUAAAAGCUACCCUGGGGAUAACAGGCUUAUCACUCCCAAGAGUUCACAUCGACGGAGUGGUUUGGCACCUCGAUGUCGGCUCAUCGCAUCCUGGGGCUGAAGUAGGUCCCAAGGGUUGGGCUGUUCGCCCAUUAAAGCGGUACGCGAGCUGGGUUCAGAACGUCGUGAGACAGUUCGGUCCCUAUCCGGCGUGGGCGUAAGAUAUUUGAGAGGAGCUGUCCUUAGUACGAGAGGACCGGGAUGGACUGGCCGCUGGUGUAUCUGUUGUCUUACCAAAGGCAUAGCAGAGUAGCCAAGCCGGGAAGGGAUAAACGCUGAAGGCAUCUAAGCGUGAAGCCCCCCUCAAGAUGAGAUAUCUCAUAACGUCAAGUUAGUAAGACCCCUUGAAGACGACGAGGUAGAUAGGGCAGAGGUGGAAGUGUGGUAACACAUGGAGCUGACUGUUACUAAUAGGUCGAGGGCAUAACCAA
rnacentral:rRNA from 1 species